UAAAGACAGAAGCUCAGCUGGAUUUGAUGAUUUCCAUGACAUAGUAUCUAUAGCUUCAUUGAGCUGCCUGGAUCCUCACCCUCCAGCACACUGAGAGAUGUCAGCCAGUUAGGCGUGGAUAAGCCUGUGGAAGAUGCUCUGUCAUUCCUUCUGAUGUGCUUGCUUUAGGACUGGCACUGCCUGGGCUGCAUCUCAUCUGCCAUCUGACUGCCUCAUUGCCUUCAGCUUCUCCAUCCCAGAGAAAAGACCACCUGUAAGCAUCGUUUUCACAAGGUCACAAGUCUGUGGUUUCUCGUCCAUCUGCAAUCUCCACCUCUCCGGAGGCUGUCUCACUUGCUUUAUUUCCUGCAAGUCCCUCACAUGA